rnacentral:rRNA from 1 species
UACGGAGGGGGCUAGCGUUGUUCGGAAUUACUGGGCGUAAAGCGCGCGCAGGCGGUUGCUCAAGUCGGGCGUGAAAUCCCGGGGCUUAACCCCGGAACUGCGUUCGAGACUGGGGGACUCGAGUCCGGGAGAGGGUAGCGGAAUUCCCAGUGUAGAGGUGAAAUUCGUAGAUAUUGGGAAGAACACCGGUGGCGAAGGCGGCUACCCGGCCCGGUACUGACGCUGAGGCGCGACAGCGUGGGGAGCAAACAGG